AUUGAACGCUGGCGGCAUGCUUUACACAUGCAAGUCGAACGGCAGCGCGGGCUUCGGCCUGGCGGCGAGUGGCGAACGGGUGAGUAAUACAUCGGAACGUGCCCAGUAGUGGGGGAUAGCUCGGCGAAAGCCGGAUUAAUACCGCAUACGACCUGAGGGUGAAAGCGGGGGAUCUUCGGACCUCGCGCUAUUGGAGCGGCCGAUGGCAGAUUAGCUAGUUGGUGGGGUAAAGGCCUACCAAGGCGACGAUCUGUAGCUGGUCUGAGAGGACGACCAGCCACACUGGGACUGAGACACGGCCCACACUCCUACGGGAGGCAGCAGUGGGGAAUUUUGGACAAUGGGCGAAAGCCUGAUCCAGCAAUGCCGCGUGUGUGAUGAAGGCCUUCGGGUUGUAAAGCACUUUUGGCGGGAACGAAAAGGACUGUGCCAAUACCACGGUUCGAUGACGGUACCCGCAGAAUAAGCACCGGCUAACUACGUG
rnacentral:rRNA from 1 species